rnacentral:pre_miRNA from 1 species
UUUGUACUCCCUCCGUCCCAAAAUAAGUGACUCAACUUUGUACUAAAGUUAGUGCAAAGUUGAGUCACUUAUUUUGGGACGGAGGGAGUAGUAU